GCAGUCGACGGAUCCUUCGGGAUUAGUGGCGGACGGGUGAGUAACACGUGGGAACGUGCCCUUUGGUUCGGAACAACUCAGGGAAACUUGAGCUAAUACCGGAUGUGCCCUUCGGGGGAAAGAUUUAUCGCCAUUGGAGCGGCCCGCGUCUGAUUAGCUAGUUGGUGGGGUAAAGGCCCACCAAGGCGACGAUCAGUAGCUGGUCUGAGAGGAUGAUCAGCCACAUUGGGACUGAGACACGGCCCAAACUCCUACGGGAGGCAGCAGUGGGGAAUCUUGCGCAAUGGGCGAAAGCCUGACGCAGCCAUGCCGCGUGAAUGAUGAAGGUCUUAGGAUUGUAAAAUUCUUUCACCGGGGACGAUAAUGACGGUACCCGGAGAAGAAGCCCCGGCUAACUUCGUGCCAGCAGCCGCGGUAAUACGAAGGGGGCUAGCGUUGCUCGGAAUUACUGGGCGUAAAGGGAGCGUAGGCGGACUGUUUAGUCAGAGGUGAAAGCCCAGGGCUCAACCUUGGAAUUGCCUUUGAUACUGGCAGUCUUGAGUACGGAAGAGGUAUGUGGAACUCCGAGUGUAGAGGUGAAAUUCGUAGAUAUUCGGAAGAACACCAGUGGCGAAGGCGACAUACUGGUCCGUUACUGACGCUGAGGCUCGAAAGCGUGGGGAGCAAACAGGAUUAGAUACCCUGGUAGUCCACGCCGUAAACGAUGAGUGCUAGUUGUCGGCAUGCAUG
rnacentral:rRNA from 1 species